rnacentral:rRNA from 1 species
AAGCAGAGGGGGCUUAGUGGUGGGGUGACUGCGUACCUUUUGUAUAAUGGGUCAGCGACUUAUAUUCUGUAGCAAGGUUAACUGUAUAGGGGAGCCGGAGGGAAACCGAGUCUUAACCGGGCGUUAAGUUGCAGGGUAUAGACCCGAAACCCGGUGAUCUAGCCAUGGGCAGGUUGAAGGUUGGGUAACACUAACUGGAGGACCGAACCGACUAAUGUUGAAAAAUUAGCGGAUGACCUGUGGCUGGGGGUGAAAGGCCAAUCAAACCGGGAGAUAGCUGGUUCUCCCCGAAAGCUAUUUAGGUAGCGCCUCGUGAAUUCAUCUCCGGGGGUAGAGCACUGUUUCGGCUAGGGGGCCAUCCCGGCUUACCAACCCGAUGCAAACUGCGAAUACCGGAGAAUGUUAUCACGGGAGACACACGGCGGGUGCUAAUGUCCGUCGUGAAGAGGGAAACAACCCAGACCGCCAGCUAAGGUCCCAAAGUCAUGGUUAAGUGGGAAACGAUGUGGGAAGGCCCAGACAGCCAGGAUGUUGGCUUAGAAGCAGCCAUCAUUUAAAGAAAGCGUAAUAGCUCACUGGUCGAGUCGGCCUGCGCGGAAGAUGUAACGGGGCUAAACCAUGCACCGAAGCUGCGGCAGCGACACCGUGUGUUGUUGGGUAGGGGAGCGUUCUGUAAGCCUGUGAAGGUGUGCUGUGAGGCAUGCUGGAGGUAUCAGAAGUGCGAAUGCUGACAUAAGUAACGAUAAAGCGGGUGAAAAGCCCGCUCGCCGGAAGACCAAGGGUUCCUGUCCAACGUUAAUCGGGGCAGGGUGAGUCGACCCCUAAGGCGAGGCCGAAAGGCGUAGUCGAUGGGAAACGGGUUAAUAUUCCCGUACUUGGUGUUACUGCGAAGGGGGGACGGAGAAGGCUAUGUUGGCCGGGCGACGGUUGUCCCGGUUUAAGCGUGUAGGUAUGUGUUCCAGGUAAAUCCGGUUCACUUUAACACUGAGGCGUGACGACGAGGCACUACGGUGCUGAAGCAACAAAUGCCCUGCUUCCAGGAA